rnacentral:tRNA from 1 species
GCGGGUAUAGUACAAUGGUAGUACAGCAGCCUUCCAAGCUGAAUAUGUCGGUUCGAUUCCGUCUCCCCGCUCCA